UAGGGAAUCUUCCACAAUGGACGAAAGUCUGAUGGAGCAACGCCGCGUGAGUGAAGAAGGGUUUCGGCUCGUAAACUCUGUUGUUAAAGGAGAACAUAUCUGAGAGUAACUGUUCAGGUAUUGACGGUAUUUAACCAGAAAGCCACGGCUAACUACGUGCUAG
rnacentral:rRNA from 1 species